GUAGUGGGUAUUAGGGGACACUAAAGGAAAGUGUCUUCACGUCCCUCAUUGACUGAUGUGUCUCUCUGUCUCUGUCAGUCUUGUUCAAGCUCUCAGUGUCCGUCCAACUCGUCCGUCUUUCAGUCCAAAGCAAAGUUGGUGGUGGACGAUGGGACAGGUGAGGCUCAUGUCUGGUUCUCAGGUGCGCUGGUUCGUCCUCUGCUGCGAUUGGCUGAUUCUCAGUGGGAGGGGCUUCAGAGAGCGCUCAGGGUCAGAGGUCAUGUCAGAGUCUACCCCCGGGGGCGGAGCCUGGUGUGUGACUCUGAGGACCCUCUGCUGCACUUCCUGUUGUGUGUGUGCGGCAGUGACGCUGUGUGUCGUCAGCUCUCUCUCACCUGCAGGAAACACAACAACCAGCGAG